CGCACGGGUGAGUAACGCGUAUCCAACCUGCCGUCUACUCUUGGACAGCCUUCUGAAAGGAAGAUUAAUACAAGAUGGCAUCAUGAGUCCACAUGUUCACAUGAUUAAAGGUAUUCCGGUAGACGAUGGGGAUGCGUUCCAUUAGAUAGUAGGCGGGGUAACGGCCCACCUAGUCUUCGAUGGAUAGGGGUUCUGAGAGGAAGGUCCCCCACAUUGGAACUGAGACACGGUCCAA
rnacentral:rRNA from 1 species